rnacentral:rRNA from 1 species
GUUGUAUGGUUAAGUGACUAAGCGUACACGGUGGAUGCCUGGGCAGUCAGAGGCGAUGAAGGACGUACUAACUUGCGAUAAGCGCAGAUAAGGCAGUAAGAGCCGUUUGAGUCUGCGAUUUCCGAAUGGGGAAACCCAACUGCAUAAGCAGUUACUGUUAACUGAAUACAUAGGUUAACAGAGCAAACCGGGGAACUGAAACAUCUAAGUACCCCGAGGAGAAGAAAUCAACCGAGAUUCCGGUAGUAGCGGCGAGCGAACCUGGAUUAGCCCUUAAGCACUCGGUGAAGUAGGUGAACAAGCUGGAAAGCUUGGCGAUACAGGGUGAUAGCCCCGUAACCGACGCUUCAUCGAGCGUGAAAUCGAGUAGGGCGGGACACGUGAUAUCCUGUCUGAAUAUGGGGGGACCAUCCUCCAAGGCUAAAUACUCCUGACUGACCGAUAGUGAACCAGUACCGUGAGGGAAAGGCGAAAAGAACCCCUGUGAGGGGAGUGAAAUAGAACCUGAAACCGUGUACGUACAAGCAGUAGGAGCACCUUCGUGGUGUGACUGCGUACCUUUUGUAUAAUGGGUCAGCGACUUAUAUUCAGUGGCAAGGUUAACCGUAUAGGGGAGCCGUAGCGAAAGCGAGUCUUAACUGGGCGCUCAGUCUCUGGAUAUAGACCCGAAACCGGGUGAUCUAGCCAUGGGCAGGUUGAAGGUUGAGUAACAUCAACUGGAGGACCGAACCGACUAAUGUUGAAAAAUUAGCGGAUGACUUGUGGCUAGGGGUGAAAGGCCAAUCAAACUCGGAGAUAGCUGGUUCUCCCCGAAAGCUAUUUAGGUAGCGCCUCGGACGAAUACUACUGGGGGUAGAGCACUGUUAAGGCUAGGGGGUCAUCCCGACUUACCAACCCUUUGCAAACUCCGAAUACCAGUAAGUACUAUCCGGGAGACACACGGCGGGUGCUAACGUCCGUCGUGGAGAGGGAAACAACCCAGACCGCCAGCUAAGGUCCCAAAGUAUUGCUAAGUGGGAAACGAUGUGGGAAGGCUCAGACAGCUAGGAUGUUGGCUUAGAAGCAGCCAUCAUUUAAAGAAAGCGUAAUAGCUCACUAGUCGAGUCGGCCUGCGCGGAAGAUGUAACGGGGCUAAGCAAUACACCGAAGCUGCGGCAAUAUCUUUUAGAUAUUGGGUAGGGGAGCGUUCUGUAAGCCGUUGAAGGUGGAUCGUAAGGUUUGCUGGAGGUAUCAGAAGUGCGAAUGCUGACAUGAGUAACGACAAGGGGGGUGAAAAACCUCCCCGCCGGAAGACCAAGGGUUCCUGUCCAACGUUAAUCGGGGCAGGGUGAGUCGACCCCUAAGGUGAGGCCGAAAGGCGUAAUCGAUGGGAAACGGGUUAAUAUUCCCGUACUUCUGACUAUUGCGAUGGGGGACGGAGAAGGCUAGGUGGGCCAGGCGACGGUUGUCCUGGUUCAAGUGCGUAGGCUUGAGAGUUAGGUAAAUCCGGCUCUCUCUAAGGCUGAGACACGACGUCGAGCUGCUACGGCAGUGAAGUCAUUGAUGCCAUGCUUCCAGGAAAAGCCUCUAAGCUUCAGAUAGUCAGGAAUCGUACCCCAAACCGACACAGGUGGUCGGGUAGAGAAUACCAAGGCGCUUGAGAGAACUCGGGUGAAGGAACUAGGCAAAAUGGUACCGUAACUUCGGGAGAAGGUACGCUCUUGAUGGUGAAGUCCCUCGCGGAUGGAGCUGACGAGAGUCGCAGAUACCAGGUGGCUGCAACUGUUUAUUAAAAACACAGCACUGUGCAAAAUCGCAAGAUGACGUAUACGGUGUGACGCCUGCCCGGUGCCGGAAGGUUAAUUGAUGGGGUUAGCGCAAGCGAAGCUCUUGAUCGAAGCCCCGGUAAACGGCGGCCGUAACUAUAACGGUCCUAAGGUAGCGAAAUUCCUUGUCGGGUAAGUUCCGACCUGCACGAAUGGCGUAAUGAUGGCCACGCUGUCUCCACCCGAGACUCAGUGAAAUUGAAAUCGCUGUGAAGAUGCAGUGUACCCGCGGCUAGACGGAAAGACCCCGUGAACCUUUACUACAGCUUGGCACUGAACAUUGAACCUACAUGUGUAGGAUAGGUGGGAGGCUAUGAAGACGUGACGCCAGUUGCGUUGGAGCCGUCCUUGAAAUACCACCCUUGUAUGUUUGAUGUUCUAACUUAGACCCGUUAUCCGGGUUGAGGACAGUGCCUGGUGGGUAGUUUGACUGGGGCGGUCUCCUCCCAAAGAGUAACGGAGGAGCACGAAGGUGGGCUAAUCACGGUUGGACAUCGUGAGGUUAGUGCAAUGGCAUAAGCCCGCUUAACUGCGAGAAUGACGGUUCGAGCAGGUGCGAAAGCAGGUCAUAGUGAUCCGGUGGUUCUGUAUGGAAGGGCCAUCGCUCAACGGAUAAAAGGUACUCCGGGGAUAACAGGCUGAUACCGCCCAAGAGUUCAUAUCGACGGCGGUGUUUGGCACCUCGAUGUCGGCUCAUCACAUCCUGGGGCUGAAGUCGGUCCCAAGGGUAUGGCUGUUCGCCAUUUAAAGUGGUACGCGAGCUGGGUUUAGAACGUCGUGAGACAGUUCGGUCCCUAUCUGCCGUGGGCGUUGGAAGAUUGAAGGGGGCUGCUCCUAGUACGAGAGGACCGGAGUGGACGAACCUCUGGUGUUCGGGUUGUGUCGCCAGACGCAUUGCCCGGUAGCUAAGUUCGGAAUUGAUAAGCGCUGAAAGCAUCUAAGCGCGAAGCGAGCCCUGAGAUGAGUCUUCCCUGAUACUUUAAGUAUCCUAAAGGGUUGUUCGAGACUAGAACGUUGAUAGGCAGGGUGUGUAAGCGUUGUGAGGCGUUGAGCUAACCUGUACUAAUUGCCCGUGAGGCUUAACCAUACAACACCCAAGGGGUUUUGUA